UGGGUCAGGGCUAGAGUCGUAUUAGGUCCGCCUUUACUCUUUCCGGAGGCACACUCAGAGGUGAUACCGACGCCCGUUUGACGGGAGGCCGAUCGAGGCCAAGAAAGAAGAACGGAAAAGAAGAAACGUCACGCACAGAGAGAGAGAGAGCGGUGGCUCAGCGUUGGUUAGAGGAGAUGUGGAGACGGGCGGCGUUCUUUUCCGCAUGGAUCUCUUCUUCUUCUUCUUCCACCAACUCCUUGAACCACCAGUGGAUACCAAAUGGCUUGAAGUUUGUGGAACUCUUUACUACAGAAACUGUGAAGUUGGCAAAAGAGGGUAUCUCUUAUCAAAGAAGUCCUUUCAUAACUUUUGUCUUGGGUGGCCCUGGGAGUGGCAAAGGGACGCAAUGUAUAAAAAUUGCAGAAACCUUUGGAUUUGCACAUCUAAGUGCUGGUGACCUGCUGAGAAAGGAAAUGUCCUCUGAUAAUGAAAAUGGAGCAAUGAUCCGUGACAUAAUCAAGGAAGGAAAGAUUGUUCCAUCAGAAAUAACAGUCAACUUGAUCCGCAGAGCAAUUGAAUCAAGCAAGAACCAUAAAAUUCUAAUUGAUGGUUUUCCUCGGAGUGAUGAAAAUCGAAUUGCUUUUGAACGGAUAGUUGGAGUAGAACCAGACCUUGUCCUCUUCUUUGACUGCCCAGAGGAGGAAAUGGUGAAACGAGUACUAAACCGUAAUCAGGGGAGAAUUGAUGAUAACAUUGAGACGAUAAAGAAACGACUUAAGGUGUUUGAGAAAUUAAAUCUUCCUGUUAUCAAUCAUUACUCUGCAAAAGGAAAAGUUUACAAGCUGUAACUAUUAUGAAUAUCAUGCCUGCAGAUCAAUGCAGAGGGAACUGUGGAUGAGAUCUUUGAAAAAGUUCGUCCCCUGUUUGCUUCCUUAAGCAUCUGAUGAAUAUGAAAGACUAUGAAGACUCCAAGAGAUGGUGAAGGAAAAAAGCAGGAGGUUGGCCCUAGUUUUUGUUUGGGGAUGCCCCUCUUGCUGCAUGCUCAUCUUUUUCUCGUAACCUGACAAAGAGACAAUAACUGGAUUUAAUCCCGUUUCCUGUCCUCUCUUCUUUCUCUUCCUUUUCUUUUCCCUCCGAGGGGAGGGGCUACUUUUUGGAUUAUGAAUUGUACGAUUUUAACCCUUUCAAAAUUAAGUCAAUGCCCUAGAACACUUGAACUCUGUGUAAUGGGAUGAGUGGAGAAGCACAAAAAAGAUGGUAGAGCCUAGAGCAUACGUCUAAGACAUUGUUCUAAUAUUUCAUACGGUAGAGAACAAUGUAGAGAAAAUUUUGGGUGUUUUCAGUUUCUUUCGUGCACUACCA